CUGAUUAAACCCAAGUGCUUCUGUUUGACAGAACGGCAGCAUGGGUUGUCUGGGGAGUGAGACUUGUGGCAGAACUUCUCUUACUUUGCUUAGUAAGUGCCCACAAGGAGAGGAAGGGUGCAGGUAUGGAUCCUGCAAAUUUUCUUUUACUCAACAAAUCGCGUGCUUUGGCCCAUUACAGUGACAGAAAGCGUCAAGAGUCUGCUGAUUACAUUGAAAUUCCCAUUAGCCUGACAGCAAGAAAACUAUGCUUUCAGAAAGCCAUCAGGGUAAUGGGUGAGCUGCCUCUUCAUGUUCCCUCAUUUCCCUUAGUCUUCCAUUACGCUGCUGGGGGGAGACACACGACACGCAAACAGAAUCCAGCCCAAUCUCUCUGUAAAUGUGUGCACAGCCAGUUCCGGCACACAUGACUACUAGAGACAAGGAAGGAAGAACUUUCUUACAUCAGGAAAGACUGUUUAUCGUCUCUGAAGUUUUACCAGCCAGCUGAAGGGUCUUCUCUCAGUUUUGACAGCAGUUUUCUCUCCAGCUCCAGUCAUAUUUUGACACAGAAGAGAAGAAGUGAUCAGAGUUCAAACUGAAAAGCAGUACUUGACUCCGGGGGAAUGGAAGCAGAAGACACAAGUGAUUUUGAAGAACUUUAUUUAACCCUUCUUUUGUACUAUUUCAAUCCUAGUACACAACUGCUUUUCAGGAUUGGGGAGAUUCAAAACGAGUUUAAAAUACAAGGCAAGAUUGCUUUAUUUGCAAUUUUAUAACGAGGAAGAAUGUGGCAAGUCUACAGACCAUAUUAGGUGAUAAGGUUAUGGAUACAAAUAUUAGUAGUAUCACCUCUUUUAUAAACAAACAAGAACACAACCAAUGUGGUUUUUUGUGUUUUCUUAUGGUUGUAUUUUGCAUUUCUCAUCAUUUGAAGAAUGAAAUAGUUUCAUUCUAUUUCAUACACUCCUGAGACUCAGUCCUGAAAGGUGUUCAACAAUCUAGUCACAAGCCAGCAAAGCUCUUACCACCUAAUUAUCUUCAAAACUGACAAUUUGGCAGUUAAUUCCAAGCUAUUAACUUUAGAGCACCUUACUACUGUUUGUAGGGUUAGUUUAGUGCUUUAUGGAUUCUGGGUCAAAGCUCUCAGCACUUAAAGGACAAAGCCUCUCCACCCAGUGUGGUUUUCAGCUCUUUAUAUGCUACAACUGCUCAGUCAGGUGGAUUUUUCCAUCUCCCAGAGAUUUCACACUUAAAAACUGUUCUUAGGAAGAGAUCAGAGAAAGAGACUUGCAUACGUCCUACAUUGUUGGCCUAGGAUAGAGGAUUUGAUAGUCUAAUUCUCUGCUUUUCACUCAAGCAUAAACUUUGACUUUGAACUUUGAGACAAGAGAGUGGGGCGAAAGCUAAAAACAGGUGGGGAAAGAAGUAUUUUACAGUUUAGACAGACCAAGAUACAGAGACACCAACAGGGAUGGCAUCCUGGUCAAAACAAGCGUGUGUGUCGCUUCAAGUUUGGUUCACAAAUAAAGAGCAAAACCAAAAGUCAAGCACAUUUCUUCAGGAAACCGCCACUCAUUUCUGCCUCCAAAUGCUUUUUGUAAGUAAUUGCUGUGGAAAACAGCUGAAGUGGGCGUUUUCUAUUAUAUAAAAUUGUCUUAAAGACGAGUAUGCUAGAUUGAUUUUAUCUAUCAAGUUAUAAUUUUGCUUACAGAUGCAAUGCUAUCAUCUCUCUGCUCAUCAGAAGGCAAAGGAAACGAAGUGCUACAGGAUUGUUUGAAAUGAGCAAAACAGAGCUAGAAAACUACCCAUCACAAGAAGAGAAGAGAUGUUAUAUAGAGAUACUGUUGGAAUACAGAUGUGCCUGAGCUCCUACCAGAAAGGCAAACAGCCUAUGAAGACAAACAUGACAACCAAAAAGAACUAUGGGAGAAGGAAGUUAGCUUGGACAAACUCUCUAACAAAAGAUUACAGGAUUAAAUCAGGGAGACUGCAUGUACAGAUAAGCAAGUAUUUUAUUACCUUUUCAACAGUCUAAGGAUAUUUGCAUCAUUACUACCAGGCAAAUAUUUAGUUGUUAUUUGGUUGGGUUUGCGUUGGUUGGUUAUUUUGCCAACGUGGUGCCAUAAGCUUCAGUUGAAUGUUGAGUAGGAAUGGAACAGGAAUCUGUUUUGUGCAUUCAAGCUUGGUGUUUUACCAAGACUUGUGCCUUUCUCUUGCCCUUGGUGGUUUGUUGCUGUGUAAUUGUUUUUUACUUUGUUGUCUAAAUAGCUCAGUAUUUUUAGGUGUUCUAACCUCUGCUGGGCCUAGAGCAAAGACAAGGGGUAGGAACUACUGUGAAGAUACAUCUGUUUUUUGAAUUCACAGGUGAACAUAUUUAUUGAGUCAAAGAUGCCAUUGCUUGUAUUAAAAUCAGACUAUGGUUAUGUUCAGAGUUGAAAACCCAGCAAUGCUAAUUUUGCAUUCCAAACUUCCCAUGAUCUUUUGCUCUUUAUACUAGAUGUGAAACACAUGGAUACGGGGUAUUGCACUUUUUCUUAGAGAACUGUACAUCUCUUAACUCUUCUGGGCUUAUCAGUUGUAGCCAUCACUAAGUAAUUCACGCAGCUGUGUUGAGAUCUAUAAAAAGCUAAAAUGACAUUUAGGUAGGCUGGACAGUAAAGAUCCAUACAGCUUGGAUCCAGGCUCAGGUUUCAAGAGCCAGCCAGAUACUGUCAUUAAGUAAACAAGAACCACAGUGUUACAAAGUGUGCAGGAUCAUGUUGACGGAAGAUCUCUGUCAUGACAAAAGAAAUUGUCUUUUCAGUCUUCAAGUCACUGGCCUCUUUCCAUUUUGUGUACACUGCCUAAAAAGAGAUCCAAGUGUCUCUUAUACUGCAUCCUGUUAAAAAAACAGCCCACAGGACCAGAGCACCAAGGUGAAAGACACAAGCAUUAGAAAUGUCAGUUGUGUAAUAAAACUUCAAACAUAGUUAUUAGCUGAAUACCUGAUAUAAAAAAGCUAUGAGUGGCGUAGCAGACAGAGUAGCUGCCAUAAAGCAAUCCUGUUCCAUGGUUUCCCAUGUGUGUGAAAUGCACAUACAUGGAAUUUCUUCUCAGUAACAGGUAUCUUCUGAUUUUUUUUGCCUAUGAGAAUUGUUCUGAAAAACUAAAAACAUGGGACACGCAUGUACAACAGUGCUUGGAGGCAUCAGUCUCUAACUAAAGGGCACAGCACUGAGAGUGGGUAAUCUUUCACUUCUCCACAUUUGUGCCACUACGAUGUGACCAUGGUCAAGUCAUUUCACCUUUCCAAGACAUCCUUUUCCUUUGGCCUGUUUUUUUUUUUUUUUCUAUGAGGGUCAUAAAUUUUGCACCAGAAUUUGUUUCUGUGUUGUGCUUGAACGUUCAUAGCCAGUCACUCAUACUAUCAAAAUAUUGUACUAUUUCUGAAACAAAGCGGGAGCCUCAGAACUUAUCAAUAAACUCAAUUUUCUAAGAAAAUUCUCACAUUAGCCUUGCAAUACAUGAGGAAUUAUGGUGUCUUCUGUGUAUUACAAUUUCUGUUGAGUUCUCACAUUUGCUUAAAUUGGGCAAGGAACAUAACUAGGGCUUUGGUAAACAGGAUGAUCCUGUAUAGGCCUAUACAUCUGCAUCUGGAAAAAUAAUAAACGUUCUUGGUCUAAAAGAGGUUUUCAUAACCAGCAGGCACAAAACAUGAAGUUGGUCUGAACAGGUAUUGGCUUUCUCAGAAUGGCAUCCAAAGGGAUGGAAGGCCACGGUACGGUGUCUUGGAUGGUGCCUUUCUAGAAAGAGUUCACAGCCAGGAACGCAACACACGAGUGAAGCUGUAGUUUGAGCUGCAAUCUGGAUGCAGACGCUAUUGCUUUAAUCUUGUCAACCACGUGUGGGAAAUUAUCUCCAGCUACAAAUGCCUGGCAUCUUUUCCAAUGACAAUCCACCUCCAGAUUUUCCUGUGUACAGGGUAAUGGGAUGCUGAAUUGCAAUGCUUUAAAUUUCACACUUCUUUACGGGCUCCUAUCUGUGACCUUUGGUUUGUAUAACACAUAACAGAGUGUUGUAACAGAUAGGCAGGUUGUAGUUCAAACCGUGUGCCUGCCAGGGGGAAAAGCAGGGCAUAUCCCAUGGUGGUUUCAUUAACAGAGAUUGUUUGCUCUUUUUCUUAUCAAACACCUGUAGAAAAACCAACCAACACAAGGCCCCGUUGCUGCUUCCUCCACAGGUGAGCCUGAUCCUGCGGGACGCUGCAGCUGCGCACCGAGGCUGCCCCAGGGCUGCUGCCGAGGCUCCUUCUCCUCUAGGUGGCCCCGGGACCCUGCCUGGGACACAUCAGCGCUUCUGGACCCUGGAAGGGCUGCUGUCUGCCUCCAGAAUCUCCUGGUUCCAGUGUCAGCUGCCAAAAGCUAUUGUUCUGCUUAUAACAGUCCAUUAAACCUCCUCAGUGCUUGAAUAGGCACCGGGCAGUCUCACCUGAGAGGGUCUUUCAUGAGCACAAGGGGAAGCCCUUACAAAAGACUGUUGGAAAUGUUGUCUCAGCCAAUGUUGAAGGAAUUGGCUCCAUGCACAUCACAGCAGUUUUGGUGUAUGCACUCUGCUUGUUCAGGUAAUUUUCAGUCUGUAUGAUCACCAGCUUGAAGAGCACUGGCAGAAGAGGUAUACCAAAUGCUACCAUCCCGUAUAAGUGUUCAGUGAGCAUUCAUUGUACAGCCCCUCAGAAACUAUUGUGGUGAGGAAACCGGGUACAACACUGACAAGUGCCAUAAGGGAUUAUUGAGAGAAAAUAUAUGAGUUCUGGAGAGGACAUAAAUGGGACAGUGGGAAACAUGUUGUCUUAUUUUUACAUGUGGAUUCUGACAAUGUUGUUACUCAGCUUCAAAUAUGUGGUUGUAAAUAAGCACAGAAGUAUAGCAGAGACCAUAUGCUGUCUUCAGUUUAUAAUAUGGAUUAGGAAUGUGAAUUGACACACUUGCAAGGAGCUCAAGGUGCUUUGUCUCCUGUCUGCUAUGCUUUCUAAGGACUAGUGCUAGUCUCAUUUUUGGCAAUAUUCUUUAAAUAAUCCUGAGAAAACCAGCCAGAUUGCACGCAGAGGAACGUACUACUUGCUGUGUGCACAAGGGCAAUUCACAACAAGGACAGGCUGAAAAAUAGUUCAGAAGGAUUUAGUACAUUACAGACGACCUUGUUCAUAGCAAUUCCAGUCUUGGAGUCAAAAAAGACAAUAAAUCGUUUGCUAUCCCAGUAGCAACUUCCACUAGUAGAGUAUUUGUAACCAUAUGUAUUACUCUGCCUGUUUAGGUUCAUAAGAUGUUUAUAACUGAGGUGCACUCCUUUUUAUAAUUAUGCUUUUCUACAUUAAGGAUGACCUCUCUCUGAGCCUGGCUGUAAGCUUUGGUGACUUCAAAGUGCUGCCCUAGCUCAGCAGAAAAUUCUGAUGGCAAGGGAUUGCUGAAAGGCUUCCUCCUGAUUCUUUUCUCACUAGGGGUGUCCUGUGGCUUAACAUCCGACAAGCAGGUUGAUCAAAGGUAUCCAGAGAGAAACAACAUGACUGGCUCAACCAAGGGGUGGGAGAAUGAAGGUUGAAAGAUCUCUUUUAUCUUGAGCACACUGUAAAAUAUGUUAAUAAUUUAGAACAUCGAAGGACAAAAAGAUAGCACUUGAAAGGAAGGUGAGAGAAUGGCAGAAGUUUAUAAGGGUUAUUUGCAGAGCAGUGAAAUCAAACAAAUCUUUCAUUUGACUCUAAGCAUAAGAAAGAGGUGUGAACAAAUUCUUAAUUAGAUUGAUGCCCAAGGCAAAGUGCUUUAUGCUGAUGCUAGGCCCUGGUCCUUUUGUGUUUGGUUUUCUGUUGGUUUUGGUUUAGUUGUUGGUUAUUUUUUUUUAAAUAAAAAGUAAAAUAAGGAAUUAUCCUACAAUCUUGAGGCCAGGUCCCCUGUUUUGUUGUUUGCUGAUGUAAAUAGCCCUAAAGUCUGCAAGAUUUGCCUGGAAGUGUAGCCCAGCUAGUGGGGGAAUCUCUGUCAGCACCACAGUUCUUACCUUGCCUUUCUCCCAGCUGUUCUGAACAGAAGCAGCAAGGCACAAGGCAUCCAGGUCUGCAUUGGUUUUAAAGUGGAGCAACCACCCUUGCGUGCUGCUUUUCUACACCAUUGAGUAAGGGAUUUUGGAAACUCUUAGUGUGCCACUGAUAUAGCCAGAGAAUGUUCCUCAGAUGAUCUGUAGAAGCCACAUAGCCCUCUUAUAGAACCCCAUGUUUUGGGACAUCCCUGUUAUUCUGGUGUUCUAGGGUCCUCACCCUGGUAACGCUCUAGUAAUAAUAUAUACGGUACCCUGAAUUUGU